ACUAGUGAAACUGGCCCUCGUGGCUAAGACACCACCCUUGUGUAUUAUUACUUGUUGCUUUGGCAGGCCGCCAUCUGGCGCCGGCUUCGGCUGGAGAGUGCUUGCCAGAGAACCGAAAACUCUGAAUUAAAUGUCGUCUGAGUACUAUGUAAUAGUUA
rnacentral:misc_RNA from 1 species